rnacentral:rRNA from 1 species
UACGGAGGAUCCGAGCGUUAUCCGGAUUUAUUGGGUUUAAAGGGUGCGCAGGCGGAAGAUUAAGUCGGUGGUGAAAUUUUGCAGCUCAACUGUAAAAGUGCCAUUGAUACUGGUUUUCUCGAGUGUGGAUGAAGUAGGCGGAAUUUGUGGUGUAGCGGUGAAAUGCAUAGAUAUCACGAGGAACUCCGAUUGCGCAGGCAGCUUACUAAACCAUAACUGACGCUCAGGCACGAAGGCGUGGGGAUCAAACAGGAUUAGAUA